rnacentral:pre_miRNA from 1 species
UGAGGGCCUAACUCAAAGCCUGUUGAUGUCAGUGGGAAUCUUUCCAUUGACGUCAAUGGGCUUUGGAUCAGGCCCCUAAUCA